CAAAAAUGUACUUCCGCCAACCUAAUUUAUUUUUAUUCAUUGAAGAUUUACCCUUGGUAAUGUUUACUGUUACAUGUUUGAAAUAACUGGUUGAUAUCAAGUUAGCUGUGUUUAGCAUGAUGCAUUUAUGAUGUUGGGGAAGACAACCAAAAUCUAUAUCGGAUGGGGUGCGACUAUAGUAGUUGGACUUGGAUUGUUUGUUUUGGCAAGAGAUAGUGUAAACAAGAACAGGGCAGCAGUGAUGAAAGCAAAACAGAGAGUGAAAGAUUCUGUCCAAACGGAUCCAUGAUAAAUAAAAGAUACUGCGGUGAAGAAAUGCUGACAUUACAUUUGUGUAAAAAUUUAUAUUUGUUUUGAAGAAAAACGACCUUAGUGAAUGAAAACCAAAUUUUGACAAUGUAUACUGUGUAAACUAUUUAAUCUUCUCAGAUAAAACUGUUGAAUCAAGAAAA